rnacentral:rRNA from 1 species
AGUGAACGCUGGCGGUAGGCCUAACACAUGCAAGUCGAACGGCAGCACAGUAAGAGCUUGCUCUUACGGGUUGCGAGUGGCGGACGGGUGUGGCAUACAUCGGAAUCUACUUUUUCGUGGGGGAUAACGUAGGGAAACUUACGCUAAUACCGCAUACGACCUACGGUUGAAAGUAGGGGAUCUUCUGACCUUGCGCGGUUGAAUGAUGCGAUUUCGGAUUAGCUAGUUGGCGGGGUAAAGACCGACCAAGGAGACGAUCCGUAGCUGGUGUGAGGGGAUGAUCAGCCGCACUGGAACGACGACACGGUCACGACGACACCGGGGGGCGGCAGUGGGGAAUAUUGGACAAUGGGGGCAAGCAUGAUCCAGCCAUACCGCGUGGUGGAAGAUGGCCUUCGGGUUGUAAAGACCUUUUGUUGGGAAAGAAAAGCAGCAGGUUAAUACCCCGCUGUUCUGACGGUACCCAAAGAAUAAGCACCGGCUAACUUCGUG